UGACGGAGACUUCAUGGCAGAAGGCCCACUUCUGAGUCAGCUUCCCUCUGAGACGUCCCAUCAAGACUCCGAUGAGGGACCCAGGGAACAAAGUGAUCCCUGUGUGGAACACAAAGACCCAGUGGAAGUAGAUGAGUCAGACGGACCUGCCAAACCCAUUGCUUAUGUGAGGCCCAGGAGGUGUGAGCCCACAGCGCCCGCGGAAGCUGCAGAGGAUCAUGCUGAUAGAAGAAACCACCAAGAACGAAGCGCUUACCCUGGAAGGCAGAGGUGGAGGCAGAGGCCGUGGCAGAGGGCAGAGAUAGGCAACCACUCCCAGGCAGCCUUCCAGGUGUGGCGGGAAGCCUCUGAGGGACGAGUUCCACAAAUCUACAUUAACCACAGUGAAGGACCACAUCUGGAUCUGAGAACAGGGGCUGACAUGAGCGUGUACCCCACCUUUACUCCGAUAGGUCCAGUGCCAGCAGAGAUGGCCCAGUGGCCACCUGUGGUUUACGGAUACUGGGUUGCCAUGAAGUGCCAGGUCCUGGCUACCCAUCACUAUGUUCCCUUCAUCCCCAUGACCAACACAUACUUCAUACCAUACAGGGCCCCCAUAUUCUUCUCGUCCAUCCCUUGGUGACUGGUGUCUUUCCGCAUCGGCCCUCCCUAGCGAAGCUUAUUUAUCCUGAGGAAAAAGGCUCACAGGAGGUAAGGUUUAGUCUUUCUCACAGUUUAGGCUUCAGUUCACUACAGCCAGGAAAACAGGGUACCCGGCACUUACAGCUGGCCUUGUCACACCCACAGUCAGAAGCAUGAAUACAUUCUAGGUUCCCAGAUGACUCCAGAUCUGGUAAAAUUGAGAAUUAACACUAACCAUCAGACUAUUUGUCCCACCUAGGGUUUAUUUGUGUGUGUGUGUGUAUAUAUAUUCAUUCUUUCCUAGACCCCCAUAACACUUCCCUUUCACACUUCCUCUAUUUUUUUUAAAUCUGUUGUGCACCAUGAAAGUGUAUGAAUGUGGGAUCAUUCACUGGAGUAUGGACCACCUACUGCAGACAAAGGACUCUUCUUCCCCUAGCAACCAUUAAACACCAACAGCAACUUAGCUGGGGGUGGAGCCUUAUGAGUCCCCUUCCCAUCCGUGUUGCAAUGGUGACAAACUUGAUCUUGUAACACAAGACUUUCCCAGGAUAACCCUUGGGGAAAUGGGGUGAUGCCGUACCCCUGAAAUCCAUGUAUAUGUAUGUAGAAAGAACCAGUUACAGACCUCAGAUGGAAAAUGGCUACUGGGAUGCAAGAUUACAGAUUUGAAUCAACAGAUGGGACUGAGAGGGACAUCUGAACACCGGGCAUAGAGGCAGCCCUGGACUAUCGAGAGAAAGGGCACCGGGAAGUGAGCAAACAGCUCCAGAAGCAGACCUAGCUGUGUUUCGUGCCAGGGAGGAUGAGUGUAUGAAGUUCUGUGAAGCAGGACAUCCUGAUGUGGAACCUUACAGGAUGGGGGCAGCAGUGGCUGUUCCUGAGAUGUUUUUACUAUGACAUUUUAUCAUGUGUGUCUGUGUGGACAUGUGUGUGUCACAGCCUGUCCAUGGAGGUCAGAGGACAACUACAGAGACAGCUCUUUCUUUUUACCCUGUGCAGACCUGAGGCUUGAAUCCAGGCCGGUAGGAUUGGCAGAAUGUUUUAACCUGAAGCGUCAUCCCACCAGCCCAGGAUGCCCAAGUGAGUUGAAAGGAAAUAGGAAAAGUUCAAAAUAGAUUGAAAGUGGGUAAAUUAAAGAAAACCUGGCAAGUCAAACAAAAGGCACAAAAACAAGAGAGUAAGCCACAUUUAAAGUGCCGAGGAAGAGGCUGGGCGACAGUGGCACACCCCUUAAUUCCAGCACUUGUGAGGCAGAGGCAGGUGGACCUUUUAAUUCUAAGCCAACCUGGUCUGCAGAGUGAGUUCCAGGUCAGCUAGAGCUGUAUAAUGGCACCUGUCUCAAAAUAAGACUAAGUAAGGAAUAGUUUGGGUAACAAUAGCCUUUGGCCUCAGUGAGAAUAUUUUAAAUGUCUUUUAAAAAUUUUCUUUUAAUCAUUAAUGGGAAUUUCCUGUCAGGUUUUUUUUCACGGAUGUCUCUGAUCAAGUUAAAGUGGCUCCUGUCUUCAAUACUCCAUGAAAUGUGAAUUAUAAAUUAGAUUGUGUCCUUAUGAAGGUUUUUGACUAGCUCAUCUUAAUAUUUGUUUCUAAGAGAAAAUGUCCAAGAAGAGUUUUUAUCCUGA